GUUACCAGAUUUGAAGGAAGCACGCAUAUCAUUUCUGACCGUUACCUCUGUAUGACUGGAGAUCCAGGAACUUGGCGUGUCCCUGUGCAUCUUGGUAGUGCACAUUCACAGUAUCGUCAGGUGCGACAGUAAGCUGAGCUGACUUGAAGACUGAGUUGCUGCUUCUCCAGAAGGAUGAUGGACUUUGCAGCUGAGGUUAUUAACAAGCUAACAGAGGAGAUUUAUAACGUACAGGCUAAGAAUGGAGAGUUUCCCCUGGUGUCAGCGUUCUGAUCUGAAACUCGCCACUGCUUUUCUAACACACCUGCUGAUCUCCAGCUUGCACAUCUUUCAUCAUGCCCAAGGAUGCCCUGUGUGACUCGAGGGUCAGCAAGGAGAGACUGAGUAGAGCAUGCCCAAAUUCUUAUAAUGGGGCAAACAGACGCCUAAGGGAUUUUGAUUCUAGGAACUUUGUGUACUGUAAUUUCUUUUUUUCUUGACCGGUUCAUGCGUACCUUUUGCUGUGAGCUUUUUAUUUUUCACCUUCUUUGGGAGUUAGAGGGGAACAAGUACAGAUACUGGAUUGUCAGAUUAGAAGUUACAGUAACUUUUCUUUUCAAGGUGAGAGAAACAUCUCUAUUGGUUUUGUAAGCUAUUAUUAAAAAGUCUUCAGCAUGCCUGGAGAAUCACUGCUACAGGUCCCUGCAGGCCAGCUGCCGUUUUGUGUAGCACUGACACCCUUCGGAGCUCUGGCUGGAGGAGGUCGGCAGCCUUAACGCUGCAAAGCCGCCCCCUUGGACUUUGGUAUUUUCACAUCUCCUCUUCCCAAGUUACUGUGCAACCUGCAGAAGGACACCGUUAAAAGGCAACGUUAAUGGCAUUUGCUUAGAUUCUCUUUCAAGCUUUAAAUGUAGCAAAAUUUCAGCAUUGCUUCCACUGCAGUUUCGUGUUUCAGAGCUGAUGUGUACCUUGCCACUGUUCAAGUGCAAUUGUUUUGGUUAGUUAUGAGUUCUUCUGACUGAAAUAGCUAUGUCAGUGUAAGCCCAAGAUGUUUUAGGUUUUCUGGCAUAACUUCUUUCCCUUCCUUUUCUGCUAUGUCUACUAUAUCUGGACUUGGGCAUUUGCUGUGCUUUAACAAUCCCAUUAUAAUCAGAGCAAUGCAAUUUGCCUGUAGACAAGCUCUUAAUGUCAUUUACAGUGAUUAUACCUGUGUUAAAAUUACAGUAUUGGUUCAGAGCAAUCUAAUUAUUUAAAAAUAUUAUUUCAA